rnacentral:rRNA from 1 species
AUUGAACGCUGGCGGCAGGCCUAACACAUGCAAGUCGAGCGGAUGAAGGGAGCUUGCUCUCUGAUUCAGCGGCGGACGGGUGAGUAAUGCCUAGGAAUCUGCCUGGUAGUGGGGGACAACGUUUCGAAAGGAACGCUAAUACCGCAUACGUCCUACGGGAGAAAGCAGGGGACCUUCGGGCCUUGCGCUAUCAGAUGAGCCUAGGUCGGAUUAGCUAGUUGGUGAGGUAAUGGCUCACCAAGGCGACGAUCCGUAACUGGUCUGAGAGGAUGAUCAGUCACACUGGAACUGAGACACGGUCCGGACUCCUACGGGAGGCAGCAGUGGGGAAUAUGGGACAAUGGGCGAAAGCCUGAUCCAGCCAUGCCGCGUGUGUGAAGAAGGCCUUUUGGUUGUAAAGCACUUUAAGCGAGGAGGAGGCUACUUAGAUUAAUACUCUGGGAUAGUGGACGUUACUCGCAGAAUAAGCACCGGCUAACUCUGUGCCAGCCGCCGCAGUAACAC